AAUGGGGAGAGACAGACCGCAGGACAAUCAGAGUCGGGGGGAGAGGAAGGAGCUGGGGACAGGGCGGGACAGGCAGGAGUCAGGCCAAGGCCAGACGUGCACACGGACUCUCCACGAAGCCAGUUGAGCGUGGAUGAAGAUGCCCACUGGGGCGGGGCUUCCCAGAAGGGUGACAGGGCGUCUGGCCCCCCCCCCCCCCAUGCUGGUGCGUGGAUGGUGUCACCCUCCUGAUGUCUGCGUCGGAGCCUGGGAUCCAAACGGGAAGCGUGUCAUUGUCAGUCUCGCCACCGCUCGCCCCCUCGCUGCCGCAGUAACACGUCACCUGUCGGAGGCCGAGCACCGAGGCGUCUACUUCUCACCGGUGCCGGGUCCAGCACGAAAUGGGUGGUGACGUCACCUCUGUCUCGGCUGGUGGUGAGGACAGAUGCUGGCCCGCGAUCAGCGCACAAGAAAUGCUGCCUGUCGUCAUGCUGGACAGCAGGGACGUGACGACAGAACAGAAGCCCGUUGGCGAGCGUUCGAAGCACCGGUGUGACUGUGAGGUUGUCGUUGCCUCCUCGCCGACCAGCCUCACGGUGCGAAGCGGCGGACGGUCGCGGCUCCGCCCCGGCCUGGACCCGCAGCCUGCAGCCCAAGGUCACCAGCGGAGUCUCCUUUCCCACGCGGGGAGCAGCCGUCCUGUCCGGCGCCUCCUCCCUCGGCACCGCGUCCCCGAGCCAGCAUUCCGUCCGAGUGUUGUUGCACCUUCCUUCCUGGACUUGCCUGGGUCACGCACUCAUCCGCGAACAGGCACGGCGGCCUGAGGGAGACGGCGCGCUGUUAACUCAGGCCACGUAACGGGUUGCUUCCCAGCCACGGAUGGAGUCAACUUCGACUUACGUGGGCUGCAGGUAAGGGAAGGGGCGGUCACCUGGAGGGAAACUGAGGGCCUUUACCAGAAGAACGGGGCAGCUGGGCAGCGGGACAGCAGACGCCCCCUGAAGUGCGUUCAGAUGUGCCACCCCAAGAGGUGCCACUGACACGUGCGGAUUAUUUCGGGCUGAAGGCGUGAUAGGAAGUUAUGAAGAAGCAGAUACAAAAGAAAACUCCCUGCUCUGCACCUGUUUGCCUAAAGUGAGGACAUCGACUCGGAGAGGUGUCUUUUGUCUCCUUUCUGCUGGGAGGAACAGGAGCUAAUCUCCAGGGACACACGUGGACCCUCGCCAGCCCAGGGGUCACGCCUCGGGAUCCACAGAACACGGCUCACGGACUUGGCUUCCUCUUCCCUAGCUCCCCGUAUGUUUCCCUUCCCACGACAUGGUGCCCUGGAAACUCAGAAGUCCUUGUCCUCCUCCCAAAGCUUGUUCUUUUAGUUACGUGUUGCGUGAGCCCAGCGACCAGCCGCCCUUGGAGUUGCUCAUCACUGGACGCUCUGGUGGACGUGCGAGGAAACUUCUGCUUCUGCUUCUCUCGUUUCUCUGUGGCCAGUCUGGUUCCCGAGGCCCAGCCGGUGGAGCUGGGAGGUGUAGGGGAGAAAAGAUUUUUUAUUCUUCCCCCCUCCCCCACCACUACGAUUUAUCACACCAUUUUAUAGUUAGGAAAAUUAAAGUUCUGGCGGUACAAGUGGUCUCCCCAAGGUCACACAGAUGGUGAUGUGGGAUUGCUGAGAUUCUGUCCCCAGUUGUGUGGACUCUUUCUGUUGUCCGUCAGCUUCCUGGGCCAUUCUGCUGGACCUUAACUAAAUUGUUUGUUAUCUGUGGCCAAGGGAUUAUAUUUCAUCUUUCUGGAUAUCCCUGUAGGUUCCAGAACAGAGUCUUAAAUAGAGUAGCGUUCAGCGAUAGAAUUGAAAAUUUCACCCAAAAGGAUCACUGGCUCAAUAAUUUGAAGUUUAAUAUUAGGUUUUAAACCCAUUUUCUAGCUGAAUGCCCUCCUUUGCCAUUUUGUAAUAAUGUCCCUUUUAUUUUCAAGGGUUGCUGAGGCAGUGGAUUUCAAAGACCCUGUGAUGCCUGUACGUAGUCACCGUCUUUCCCUGGAGGCAUCACCACCCACUCUCCCAGGAGUUGUUAGGCUGUUUCCUCGCCACCAGCCACGCCAUGUGCAGAUGGGUGACUUUCCCUUCUCUGACUUGGUUUUGCACUUAGGACAGUUGUUUUUCCUUGUGAUCACAAGGAGAGCUUUUGGUGGCGGGGGGGAGGGGAGGGUGCGGCGCGCAGUGGGCCGAACGGGGAAGCGCUCCUUCCUUUUCUCCGUCUGUAGCACAAAAGCCCCUCCAGUGGCAGCGAGGGCUGAUCUCUGGGUGUUAACGUUGAGUAAAGAGCAUCUGAGGCCCUGUUGAAGAUUUCAUAGAGUGGCCCUGCAACGAGGAACGUGUGAAUGAAUAGAAAAGAUGUGGUUUGGGGGCGGGAGAAUAUGUUUCCUUGGGGGAAUGGGGAUAAAUUGGCCAAUUCUCCGUGACCUUGCCUGACGGUCCGAGGCGAGUGAAGCAAUGCCUUCUACCUGAGAAGCACUUUUGGGAACGUAGACUAGGCUGUUAAGGUUGGCCCUGUUGCAUCAAAACUUCAGUUCCCUUCUACGGCAGCUUUCUCUUUCAACAGGUGAAAAUGCCCAAGUCAUUGAUAACGUAGGUGUGAACUGUGUGCUCGCUUUUUAAAAAGUUUCUUUUUAGCUGACUUAGUAACCUUCUCCCAAAAGUUGUGUUUGUUUCAUAUCUGCAGUCACUGCAGCUACAGUUCAGGGUGUUCCUGAAACGCCCACUGACUCUGAGGUUGUGAUCUUACCAAGACAGUUACCGAGGAGAAGGCAAGCAUGCGUGAUAAAGAGAAGAGAAGUUAAAGAAGAAGUUUUGCAAGGGGCUUCCAUGCAGUUCCAUCCACACGUUCAUUCUGUUCCAUCCCACCCCUUCCACUCACUUCACCCAUUCCGUUCACUCCGUUCCAUCCCUCUGAUGAUUGUUAGUGUCUUGCCACACGCCAGACACCAAAUCUAUGCGAGUGCCCCUUUUGUCUCGGUAGUAGUCACCCUUCGUCCCCAUCUCAGAAGACCACAGCCACUGAUCGAGUCAUAGAUUGUUGACUGCACUCGGGACGAUGAGGACUGUCACUCCCACUGCCAUCUCCUGUUCCAGCCUCCCUGGGUCCAUACUUGAGGACCUUUCCUCCCCACGACACUCAUCUGAGCAUAAUUCCCUGGAGAUUCAUCCAAAUUUUUGCCUACGUCAGCAAUUCAUUCCUUUCCAUCGUUGCACAGUGUUCCACGGCCCGGGUGUAGUUUGUUCGGCCAUUCACCCGUUGAAGGACAGCAGGGCUGUCUCAGGUUUUGGGGCCGUUAUGGAUAGAGCUGCUGGAAACAUUCACGUGCAGUUUCUUGUAGGAACAUUUCUUCUCUCUGGGAGAAACGCCCAAGAGCGCAGUCGUGGGGUAGUGUGGUUGUAGGUUAGUUUUUUUUGUUUUUUUGUUUUUUUUUUAAUUUUUUUUUUCAACGUUUUUUAUUUAUUUUUGGGACAGAGAGAGACAGAGCAUGAACGGGGGAGGGGCAGAGAGAGAGGGAGACACAGAAUCGGAAACAGGCUCCAGGCUCCGAGCCAUCAGCCCAGAGCCCGACGCGGGGCUCGAACUCACGGACCGCGAGAUCGUGACCUGGCUGAAGUCGGACGCUUAACUGACUGUGCCGCCCAGGCACCCCAUGUUGUAGGUUAGUUUUAUAUGAAACUGCCAAUCUGGUUUCCACGGCAGCUGUACCAUGACACGUCCCCGCCAGCAACGUGUGACUGACCUGAUUCCCCACCUUCUAAGCAUUUGCUGUCCUCACUCGCAACUUUCUAUUUCAGCCGUUCCGACAGAUGUGUGGUUUUCGUUUGCGUUUUCCUGAUGGUUAGCGACGUGGAGCAUCUUUUCAUGGGUUUAUUUGCCAUUCAUACGUCCUCUUUGGUGAGACGUCUGUUCCUGUGGUUUGUGCAGUCUCUAAUAGGAUUGUUUGUAUUUUCACUGGUUAACUCUGAGAGUUGUUAACGUAUUCCGGACAUUAUUUCGUUGUCAGAUGUACGGUUUGCCAGUGUUUCCUUCCAGCCUGUAGCUUGUCUCUCCGUCCUCUUCACAUGGGCUCAUGCAGAGCUGAGGUUUUCAGUUUGGGUGAGGGUCCCUCCUAGACAGCCCACUUCUAACCUGUUGACUUGACCUCCAAACUUUCCCGGUCUCCACCCACCUUUCUCCAUCUCCAUGGGUCCCUUCUAAAGCUGUGUGCUGUGGGCUCCUCCUCCCAUAGUCCCGGUGGCCCUCCCUUCUCCACCCUGGAGGUGUUGGUAGAAACUCCCAGAGAAGGCCUCCUACAGACCCUCCCUGCAGGCAGACGCAGCCCAUCUCACGCCCUCCGCCAGGCAUCAGACGAGGCGGCUGAUGGCUUCCGAAACAGACGUGUCAGAAUUUGCCAUUUGUAGUCAGUUGCCAGUGGACUUUAGAACCUAGGUGUCAUGUUUUUGCCUCGUGUAAAGUUUCUUUUUUAUUAUCCUGAGUUUUAUUUUGAGAGAUGGCAGGAGAUUGUCAUAUUAACAUUAGAGGAACGUAUUCUGUUCUCGUUUUGGCCAGUUAUAUGCGUUCUUCUAUGUUAGUGUCGUUUUUCUUUUCUUUAGUGGCGGUGAUCGGCAUAGUGAAUUUAGGCAUUUAUAAACCAUUGCUUGCCGGAGUUUCUUUGUUAGCUUCUUAAUUCUCAUCGUCUGGGAGCAGGAAACUUCAUAACAGGAAUAGUGAGGCUUUCCCGUAGGCUAAGGUCUAGAUCAGCCACUGGGACCAGCGUCCUCUGCAGACCGCGCAAGCGGCCUGCACGCACCCCGGCCAGUAGCUGCCGGCUGUCACAGUUCAGACAGGAUGUUAGCAGAGGAGAACGUGGAUUAAGGUGGAGCCUCCCGUUUCUGGUGCAGGAGAUCUGGAGGCGAGACAGCAGUUAUUAGAGAGAGGUUUUUUUUAAACCAACGGAAAAUUUCUUCUGUCUUUCCUCACGGCCGUGGGAGAUUCCAGACUUCAGCAUCAGAAAUGUAUUUGAACCCAGCAGUCUCAGUAGUGUAUUUGUCACAAACGGGGCUAAACCGACCGGCACGGCCAAGUUACAUCUGGGUAAUGAGCCAAGAGUCUGCUCUUCCCGCUGAAAGUGGGAUUUAACUUGGCAUUUCAUCAGAAAGAGGAGAAAAUGCAUGUGUUUUCACAUUUUCUCAUUUCCGACCGUCUGAGCACCAGUCAGCACCCCGAGUUAUCAAGUCAGAAUGCAGUGGAACUGUUCUGUGAGGUGUGGAGCCACAUUCCUGAUUCGGGUAUGUCACCACCGGGCCGUGCUUCGGUCACUGUCUCUGGAGCACCACGGGAGGCGGGGUCUAGGGAGGACCACGACUGGCUCUGCAGAUCCGAAAUGACCCCGGGCGACACACCCACCGAGCAGGCUCGGGGAGGUCUCGGCUCGUGCGGGAGUCUGCUGUGCUGCCCUCCGGCAUUUCAGGACGUCUUCGGUGUCGCCAAGAACACACGUCCUGCGGAGAGAUGAUUUUCCUGGUGGGCAAGUGUGACUCGAGGCCAAGUGCUGUCUCCUCCUGGCAGGUUCCUUGGAGCCCUGAGCAGACAGAUCUCCCGUGGACUUGCCAGAACACGGAGCCGAGAGCCUGCUCCGUGUCAGUGAGGCCACUGUGGCUCUCAGGGCAUUUGACAUCGAGCACGUGUUUUCGGGGACUCAGAAGAAGAGCCUUCAGGGCUCUUUGAGGAAGGACUUGCAAGAGA